CUAUAGGAUUUUGCGAUGGCGGUUUAUCUAACCAAAUCUAUGUUAACAAAUUUGAACCGAGUUCAAUAUCCAUCGAACUUUAGCAACGAUGAAGAAGGGAGUAGCAGUAGUGGUGGUGACCAAUGGCAGAGGUUCUACUCUGAAGGGAAAAGUGCAGCAGAUUUGGCAAAGGAUGCAAUUUGCAGAGUCUGUGCUCGGGUGGCCUGCACUCCUCUAUCAGAAAAAAUAGAGGGAUAUGAUAUAAUGAGCGCCAUUUGCAGUAUUACUAAUGUUGCCAUAAGUGCCGAAGAUUCACUUCCGAAGUACAUUUGUAACGAAUGCCUUGAAACUUUAAGAGUCGCAUUAAUAUUUAAGAAAACAUGUGAGACUUCUGACCGGAAAUUUAAACGGAUUUUAAACCCAAUGGGGGACCCAUCAUACCAUUCCUACCCAUAUUCCAAACAUGACUUCCAACUAAUUCUCCACCAUAUGAAGCUGAAGAGGAUGAGGAUCGAAGAAGAAAAAGAGAAAGAACGUCAAAGAAGAGAAAAAAUGCUUUUAAAGAAAACCCCCAAGUCUAAGCAGUUCACGUGUUCCCCAUGCGAUAUGAAUUUUCCUUCCAAGGAAAAGUUACUAGCGCAUCGCCGUGAGCGGCAAUGUAUGCGUCGCGCAUGCGAGUUAUGCGGGCAGUUGGUACUUAGUAUCACGCAACACAUGCGGCACAUACACAAGCAAUCCGUACUUCAUAAGUGUCCCACCUGCGGCAAGGAGUUCACAGUCGUCGCACGCCUUAGGAAUCACAUGCUGAUCCACACGAACAUAUUCAACUUCUUCUGCGACCUGUGUCCAUAUAAAUGCAAGCAUAAAUACUACUUGGUGAUGCAUAUGAGAACUCAUACUGGAGAGAAGCCUUACAAGUGUCCGGAGUGUCCUGCUACGUUUGUAAAUCCUUCUAAUUUGAACAAGCAUAAGUUGACACACCAGGAGAAACAGUUCAAGUGUUUUCUAUGCGAAAAAGCGUUCCGCACGACGUCGGCGCUGCGCGAACACCGCGAGGCCGCGCAUAUGAACAUCAAGCAUACCUGCAACUAUUGUGGACGAGACUUCUGUUACAAGUCCGAUCUCCGAAAACACGAAAUCCGUAGUCACAAUCGUACCAAACGCGACUACAUCGGCGGCGAGCCCACAUACAAGCAAGUUGAACGUAUGCAGAAGAUGAAAGAGGAAAAUCAUGAUUUAGAUAAGUGGCGGCACGAGAUCGCAGUUACUCAGCCUACCCAAAUAGUGCAAACUGCGUACAUGGAGCCAAAUAAGGAUUACAUGUCGAAUUCUCAUCAGAUUUACUGUUUCUCUGAUGUUACCGCCGUCAUGCAUUCGCAAUCGCAACCGAUGGUUCAACAACAACAACAGACCGUCCAGCUAUCAUUGCCCGAAUUAACAAUGAAGAAAGAUGACGUCAAGAUUUACGAAACUCAACAAGGCAUUGGAUAUUUUUAGAAUCACAAAUAAACGAAAUAUACGUGUCCGAAAGAAAAACUGGAUAACGGGGUAGCUGUGCUUAUUUUCGGGUGAAUUAAGUUAACCCAGCCUUAUUUUCUAGAUUGACUAUUUUUACACUGUGUGCUCUGGGUCAAUGAGGAGUUAAUUUUGUUACGUUGGUACUCAAAGCACAGGGAACACCUUAGACUGAGACCAGAUAAUUGAUAUAUUAGUCGAGCACAUUAUUAUGACUACAUUUGUACAAAAAUGAUUUAAUUAUCAUGCUAUAAUAUAAAUAUAUUAUUUAGAUAGGCACAAGCCUUACAAAUAGAACACCAGCUCACGAAAACGUGUUCAUGUAUGAACUGUGCUGACGAUAUUCCAUAUAAGAUAUAUUUUGCACAGUAAAAAAUUAAUUUUAGCGAAAACGGAAGCGAAAGCGGAAGAGUAAAUACCAUAACGAUAUCGAAAUAGUUCCAAGCAGGACUUGUUUUUGAUUUUAUAAUUGCAUUUAACACAAAACUGCAAAAAAUGCGCGUCUCACGGCCAAACAUUUCCGACGUAAACGUUUUAAACUUCCGAUUAAAGUUUCGUUAUAAAUGUUAUGGAAGUAGAUGUGAAAAAGCGUUCAGAACUUUCGCAAUUGUGGAACCAGAAGCAGAGAUCUGUUGCUUCACUAGCAUGGAUGAGUGCUGCAGCGUGCUGACAAGUGGAAUUCAACCCUUAGCCAGUUUUUUCCUACGAUAUAAAAACCCUGUAUAGAUUAGUAUUAUAUGCAAUAACUAGAGUUAACUAGAAAAAUAUAUAUUAUUACACUAGAAAUUAUUAGGGUAUUUGACAAGUAUCGCAAAUGAAAUAUUUUUCAUUAGCAUUUACAGAAAAAAAUU